UGAUGAACACAAAGGGAAAGAGGAGAGGCAUCCGAUAUAUGUUCUCUAGGCCUUUGAGAAAACAUGGAGUUGUUCCUUUGGCCCCAUAUAUGCAAACCUAUAAGAAAGGUGAUAUUGUAGACAUCAAGGGAAUGGGCACUGUUCAAAAAGGAAUGCCCCACAGUGUUACCAUGUCUAAACUGGAAGAGUCUACAAUGUUCCUCAGCGUCCUGUUGGCAUUGUUGUAAACAAACAAGUUAAGGGCAAGAUUCUUGCCGGAGAAUUGAUGUGCGUAUUGAGCAUAUUAAGCAUUCUAAGAGUCAGGAUAGCUUCCUGAAGUGCAUGAAGGAAAAUGAUCAGAAAAAGAAAGAAGCCAAAGAGAAAGGUACCUGGGUUCGACUGAAGCGCCAGCCUGUUCCACCCAGAGAAACGCACUUUGUGAGAACCAGUGGGAAGG
rnacentral:lncRNA from 10 species